rnacentral:rRNA from 1 species
AAUCAACGCUGGCGGCGUGCCUAACACAUGCAAGUCGAACGAGAAAGUGGAGCAAUCCAUGAGUACAGUGGCGACCGGGUGAGUAACACGUGACUAACCUACCUUCGAGUGGGGAAUAACCUCGGGAAACCGGGGCUAAUACCGCAUAACAUCGUGAGGGGAAGAUCCUCACGCUCAAAGGAGCAAUUCGCUUGAAGAGGGGGUCGCGGCUGAUUAGCUAGUUGGUGAGGUAACGGCUCACCAAGGCGAUGAUCAGUAUCCGGCCUGAGA